rnacentral:tRNA from 1 species
GGGUCGUUAGCUCAGCCGGUAGAGCAGUUGGCUUUUAACCAAUUGGUCGAAGGUUCGAAUCCUUCACGACCCACCA